GAUGAAGAACGCAGCGAAAUGCGAUAAGUAGUGUGAAUUGCAGAAUUCAGUGAAUCAUCGAAUCUUUGAACGCACAUUGCACCUCUCGGUAUUCCGGGAGGUAUGCCUGUUCGAGCGUCAUUUGUACCCUCAAGCUCUGCUUGGUGUUGGGUGUUUGUUCCGCCUCUGUGUGUGAACUCGCCUCAAAACAAUUGGCAGCCGGCGUACUUGUUUCGGAGCGCAGCACAUUUUGCGAUCCAGAUCAACGUACAGCGGCAUCCAAGAAGCCUUAUUUAACGCUCUUGACCUCGGAUCAGGUAGGGAUACCCGCUGAACUUAAGAAUAUCAAUAAGCGGAGGA
rnacentral:misc_RNA from 1 species